AGAGAGAGACAUGCGCGCAUAUCAAUAAGCGGAGGAAAAGAAACUAACAAGGAUUCCCUUAGUAACGGCGAGUGAAGCGGGAAGAGCUCAAAUUUGAAAUCUUCAAGGUUUUACCUUGACGAAUUGUAGUUUAAAGAAGUGUUUUCUGCUGAAGUUUUGGUAAAAGUUCUUUGGAAUAGGACAUCAUAGAGGGUGAGAAUCCCGUAUUUGACCAUUAUUUUCAGCUUUGUGAUACACUUUCAAAGAGUCGGAUUGUUUGGGAAUGCAGUCCAAAAUGGGUGGUAAAUUUCAUCUAAAGCUAAAUAUUGGCGAGAGACCGAUAGCGAACAAGUACCGUGAGGGAAAGAUGAAAAGAACUUUGAAAAGAGAGUUAAACAGCUACGUGAAAUUGUCAAAAGGGAAGCGUUUGACACCAGUGUUGUUUUCUCGAAAAUCAAUUAAAAAUGGCUCGAUUUUGUAUUGCUUGAGACCUUAAAAGCUCACUGUACAUUUUUCGUGUCUUUUUUAAUGCACUUUUCGUUUAACAAGUCAACAUCAGUUUCUUUUGUUGUAAAAGGGUCAUUGGAAGGUGGCUUUCUUUUCGGAGAAAGUGUUUAUAGCCUUUGGCCUCUGCAAUCGGAGAGACUGAGGUCUGCAGCGUAGACUCUUCGGGGUUAGAUACAUUUGUGCUAAGUUAUAGCUUUUUAUAGACAACUUGUUGACUAUAAUUAGUCUUGUAGCUUACUCGCUUAUGCUAUUUUACCUACGCUUAGGAUGUUGAGUCGUAGAGCACGCAG
rnacentral:rRNA from 1 species